rnacentral:rRNA from 1 species
CCUACGGGAGGCAGCAGUGGGGAAUUUUGGACAAUGGGGGCAACCCUGAUCCAGCAAUGCCGCGUGAGUGAAGAAGGCCUUCGGGUUGUAAAGCUCUUUUGUCAGGGAAGAAACGGUUCUGGCUAAUAUCCGGAGCUAAUGACGGUACCUGAAGAAUAAGCACCGGCUAACUACGUGCCAGCAGCCGCGGUAAUACGUAGGGUGCGAGCGUUAAUCGGAAUUACUGGGCGUAAAGCGUGCGCAGGCGGUUGUGCAAGACAGAUGUGAAAUCCCCGGGCUCAACCUGGGAAUUGCAUUUGUGACUGCACGGCUAGAGUGUGUCAGAGGGGGGUAGAAUUCCACGUGUAGCAGUGAAAUGCGUAGAGAUGUGGAGGAAUACCGAUGGCGAAGGCAGCCCCCUGGGAGUAACACUGACGCUCAUGCACGAAAGACGUGGGGAGGCAAACAAGGAUUAGAUACCCUCGGUAGUCCACGCCCUAAACCGAUGUCAACUAGUUGUCGGGUCUUAAUUAGACUUGGUAACGCAGCUAACGCGUGAAGUUGACCGCCUGGGGAGUACGUCGCAAGAUUAAAACUCAAAGAGUAGUACGACGNGAGAGAGACGACGACGACGACGACGGAGGAGGAGG